rnacentral:rRNA from 1 species
GACGAACGCUGGCGGCGCGCCUAACUGCAUGCAAGUCGAGCGACGCAUGCCCGGUGGGUAACCACUAGGUAUGACGGAGCGGCGAACGGUGAGUAACACGUGAGUAACCUGCCCCGAAGACCGGGAGUAGCCCGGGGAAACCCGGAUUAAUACCGGAUACCCUCUCUGGAUCGCAUGGUCCGGUGAGGAAAUGCCUUUGUGCUUCGGGAUGGACUCGCGGCCUAUCAGCUUGUUGGUGAGGUAACGGCUCACCAAGGCUACGACGAGUAGCUGGUCUGAGAGGACGAUCAGCCACACUGGGACUGAGACACGGCCCAGACUCCUACGGGAGGCAGCAGCAGGGAAUCUUGUCCAAUGGGCGCAAGCCUGAGACAGCGACGCCGCGUGAGGGAUGAAGGCCUUCGGGUUGUAAACCUCUUUCAGGAGGGACGAAAUUGACGGUACCUCCAGAAGAAGCCCCGGCCAACUACGUG